AAAACAACUCUCGGCAAUAGAUAUCUCGGCUCUCCCAUCGAUGAAGAACGUAGCAAGAUGCGAUACUUGGUGUGAAUUACAGAAUCCCAUGAACCAUAGUGUAUUUGAAUGCAAUUUGUGCCCGAAGCCAUUAGGCCGAGGGCACGUCUGCCUGGGCAUC
rnacentral:rRNA from 1 species